ACCGAAGUGGUGGAAUAGGCAUACACAAUUGACUCAAAAUCAAUUAUCUUAAAUGAUAUGUCGGUUCAAAUCCGACCUUCGGUA
rnacentral:tRNA from 1 species